rnacentral:rRNA from 1 species
ACUCCUACGGGAGGCAGCAGUGGGGAAUAUUGCACAAUGGGGAAACCCUGAUGCAGCCAUGCCGCGUGUGUGAAGAAGGCCUUCGGUUGUAAAGCACUUUCAGUAGGGAGGAAGGUAGUGUAGUUAAUACCUGCACUAUUUGACGUUACCUACAGAAGAAGCACCGGCUAACUCCGUGCCAGCAGCCGCGGUAAUACGGAGGGGUGCGAGCGUUAAUCGGAAUUACUGGGCGUAAAGCGCAUGCAGGCGGCCUGUUAAGUCAGAUGUGAAAGCCCGGGGGCUUAACCUCGGAAUUGCAUUUGAAACUGGCAGGCUAGAGUCUUGUAGAGGGGGUAGAAUUUCAGGUGUAGCGGUGAAAUGCGUAGAGAUCUGAAGGAAUACCAGUGGCGAAGGCGGCCCCCUGGACAAAGACUGACGCUCAGAUGCGAAAGCGUGGGGAGCAAACAGGAUUAGAUACCCUGGUAGCACAGAG